rnacentral:rRNA from 1 species
GCUUGGUGCGAUCGUCUACACUGGGCUAUGAUCAUUCUUGCCUGUAUGAUUUUACCGCUUGCACUAGAUGAAGCUACGUAGGUGCGAGCGGGAGUGGGGUGGGUAACACGUGGGUAACCUGGCCAUGAGACUGGGAUAACACCUGGAAACAGAUGCUAAUACCGGAUAACAACACUAGACGCAUGUCUAGAGUUUGAAAGAUGGUUCUGCUAUCACUCUUGGAUGGACCUGCGGUGCAUUAGCUAGUUGGUAAGGUAACGGCUUACCAAGGCAAUGAUGCAUAGCCGAGUUGAGAGACUGAUCGGCCACAUUGGGACUGAGACACGGCCCAAACUCCUACGGGAGGCAGCAGUAGGGAAUCUUCCACAAUGGACGAAAGUCUGAUGGAGCAACGCCGCGUGAGUGAAGAAGGGUUUCGGCUCGUAAAGCUCUGUUGGUAGUGAAGAAAGAUAGAGGUAGUAACUGGCCUUUAUUUGACGGUAAUUACUUAGAAAGUCACGGCUAACUACGUGCCAGCAGCCGCGGUAAUACGUAGGUGGCAAGCGUUGUCCGGAUUUAUUGGGCGUAAAGCGAGUGCAGGCGGUUCAAUAAGUCUGAUGUGAAAGCCUUCGGCUCAACCGGAGAAUUGCAUCAGAAACUGUUGAACUUGAGUGCAGAAGAGGAGAGUGGAACUCCAUGUGUAGCGGUGGAAUGCGUAGAUAUAUGGAAGAACACCAGUGGCGAAGGCGGCUCUCUGGUCUGCAACUGACGCUGAGGCUCGAAAGCAUGGGUAGCGAACAGGAUUAGAUACCCUGGUAGUCCAUGCCGUAAACGAUGAGUGCUAAGUGUUGGGAGGUUUCCGCCUCUCAGUGCUGCAGCUAACGCAUUAAGCACUCCGCCUGGGGAGUACGACCGCAAGGUUGAAACUCAAAGGAAUUGACGGGGGCCCGCACAAGCGGUGGAGCAUGUGGUUUAAUUCGAAGCAACGCGAAGAACCUUACCAGGUCUUGACAUCCAGUGC